rnacentral:piRNA from 1 species
UGCCACCAUCGCUCCUGUGCAUACUGC